rnacentral:lncRNA from 1 species
UGUGAUGUUAUGCUAUUGUUUCAGAAAAAGGGUGAAGGUUUGGAUCCAUUAAAACGUUUAAUCCCGCUGCAAAUGUUUGCACCUGUCCUAAGUCAGGAAUCUGAUGUGCACUAGUUGUCGUUUGUUUAUGUAAUUUAUACGUGUUUCUCGUUUCUCGUUUUUUUAUAUAGAUUAGACCGUUGGUUUUCCCGUUUGAAUGGUUUUACACUAGGGGCCCUUUAUAGCUUGUUGUUCGGUGUGAGCCAAGGCUCCAUGUUGAAGGCCGUACAUUGACCUAAACUGGUUUACUUUUAUAAAUUGUUAUUUGGAUGGAGAGUUGUCUCAUUGGCACUCACACCACAUCUUCCUCAGGCGCGUAGCAACCCGUACGCAAAAACGCAGUUGCGUACACAUUGAAAAUUUGACAAAAAUGAAAAUAUGGUAAAUCUAGUUAGAAUAAAACUGUAGUAAUAGAAUUAAUUAUAAAGUGUUAUAAAAAUAUUAUAAUAGUCACUCAAGUUGUAACUAUAUUCCGUUCCGGAAACUAGUUUUCUCUUUACAUUUUCGGGACCAGCAUCGUGAUUGUGCUGCUGAUGCAAACCAUUAAAAUAGCUGAGUCCUCGGGGUUUCAGAAUACAAUAAGUGCGUCUACUAUGCCUCCUUACCCUGACAUCUUUUCUGAAGAUUUCAAAAUGACUGAUGAAAUAAAACGUGAUGUUCUGUUAAUAAUUUUGCAGCCUAUUCGCCGUUUUUCUUUUUACGAUUAACGUGUUUUUUACUUUUUUAUUUUAUGUUCGGUCGUGCAAGAUGGGUGCCUCGUUCAUUUAAUUAUACGUGUCUCGAGAUUAAAAGUGUCUAUUCUCCAUGUGCAAAAUUUAAAGUGCUUGUUUUCCUUGCUUUGUAAAAAUAAAAGACUCGUUUUUGGAAGUUGAUAAAAAGAACUCAGAUUUAGUAUUGAAGCUUUUCAAAAGUCACGAUUUAUUUACAAAUGUAUAGUUAAAGGUUUCCAAACUAUGAUGUUAUAAACAAGGAUUUAUACCCGGGAAUCUUUAAAAUACUUAACAUAUAAUAUGCAUGUAUGUCGGUCUGGACGACAACGAUAGAACUCUCUUUCAGUACCAUGAGACGACUAAAGAAAUACAAUGAAAUCCAUUCGUUCAGCUGGGCUUGUUCUAUUGAACAUAUAUCACGAAAAACAAAUUUCAACAGACACGGUUUUGGAUAACUGGAAAGGCAAUGGUCAUUGACCAUCAGAACUAACUUUGAGAAUUAAAAGCUAAAAGAAAGACUGCUCUUAUAAAAUAAAAUAGAGAAAUGUAAUUCGAUUUAUUUAUGUAUUUUCUCAAUAUAAAAAAAUAUCCUUUAAGGCUUAGAAAUUUGGAUUUUCUCAGUGAAUGUAUAGUGGGUUGAGACUGAUUAUGUAGCAAUUAAAAUAUAUGGUGGUGGCACUAUUAUAUAUUAGUUGUUACCUGAUAUAUAAAUAAGCUCUACCCACUACACAUUAGAAUUUUUUAUUUUCUCUCAUUUUUUUUUUCAAAUUUAAUUAUUUUCAAAAGUUGUCUUGUUACUCAUGAAAAUAAGAUUUCUGUGAGGUCAUUUUCAGUCGCAGGAAAUCCCGAGAAUGCAGGAUUUUGCACCAAUUACUCUAGAGCUUGUCGCCGUAUGACUUCUUUCCCCGGCAUUGCGUACACAUCAUUUUGGCCUAGCUACGCACCUGUUUCCUAUAUCUAAGUGGUGCAA